GAUGAACGCUGACAGAAUGCUUAACACAUCAGCAAUUGAUUGGUGGCGGACGGGCGAGUAACGCGUAAAGAACUUGCCUCACAGGUAGGGACAACAUUUGGAAACGAAUGCUAAUACCUAAUACUGUGAGAGAGGUUUGCGUCCCAUUAGCUAGUUGGAGAGGUAACGGCUCACGAAGGCGAGGAUGCGUAGCCGGCCUGAGAGGGUGAUCGGCCACAAGGGGACUGGGACACGGCCCUUACUCCUACGGGGGGAAGCAGUGGAGAAUAUUGGACAAAGGACCAAAGUCUGAGCCGGGAUUUCGGUUUGCACGAUGAAGUUUUCGGAAGGAAGAUUGCUUUCAGUUGAGAAGCGGUACCAACAGAAGAAGUGACGGCUAAAUACGUGCCAGCAGCCGCGGUAAUUC
rnacentral:rRNA from 1 species